GCGCGAAAACUUUACAAUGCCGGCAACGGCGAUAAGGGGACCUCGAGUGCCAGGUUACAAAUCUGGCUGUCGUGAUGCCUAAAAAGCAUUGCAUAGCAAGGGCCGGGCAAGACCGGUGCCAGCCGCCGCGGUAACACCGGCGGCUCGAGUGGUAACCGUUAUUAUUGGGUCUAAAGGGUCUGUAGCCGGCCGGAUAAGUCUCUUGAGAAAUCCAGCAGCUCAACUGUUGGGCUUUCAGGAGAUACUGUCUGGCUCGAGGCCGGGAGAGGUGAGAGGUACUUCGAGGGGUAGGGGUGAAAUCUUGUAAUCCUUGAAGGACCACCAGUGGCGAAGGCGUCUCACCAGAACGGACCUGACGGCAAGGGACGAAGGCUAGGGGCACGAACCGGAUUAGAAACC
rnacentral:rRNA from 1 species